rnacentral:rRNA from 1 species
AUUGAACGCUGGCGGCAGGCCUAACACAUGCAAGUCGAGCGAGCGGCGGACGGGUGAGUAAUGUAUGGGGACUGCCCGUUAGCGGGGGAUCACUACUGGAAACGGUAGCUAAUACCGCAUACUAUCGGAUAACCCAUAUGGGAGUAGCUAGUCGGUGGGUUAAUGGCUCACCUAGGCGACGAUCUCUAGCUGGUCUGAGAGGUUGAUCAGCCACACUGGGACUGAGACACGGCCCAGACUCCUACGGAGGCAGCAGUGGGGAAUAUUGCACAAUGGGCGCAAGCCGGAGGCAGCCAUGCCGCGUGUAUGAAGAAGGCCCUAGGGUUGUAAAGUACUUGCAGUCGGGAGGCGUUACCGACAGAAGAAGCACCGGCUAACUCCGUGCCAGCAGCCGCGGUAAUAC